GAGUGCCAGCAGCCGCGGUAAUACGUAGGGGGCAAGCGUUAUCCGGAAUUACUGGGCGUAAAGGGUGCGUAGGCGGCUAGUUAAGUCGAGGUUAAAAGGCAGUAGCUCAACUACUGUUGGGCCUUGAAGCUAAUUAGCUUGAGUAUAGGAGAGGAAAGUGGAAUUCCCGGUGUAGCGGUGAAAUGCGUAGAUAUCGGGAGGAAUACCGGUGGCGAAGGCGACUUUCUGGACUAUAACUGACGCUGAGGCACGAAAGCGUGGGUAGCAAACAGGAUUAGAUACCCUGGUAGUCCACGCCGUAAACGAUGAACACUAGGUGUCGGGAGGAAUUUCGGUGCCGGCGCAAACGCAAUAAGUGUUCCGCCUGGGGAGUACGUUCGCAAGAAUAAAACUCAAAGAAAUUGACGG
rnacentral:rRNA from 1 species